UCGCCUCGACGGUCCCACGGCCAGCCGA
rnacentral:sRNA from 1 species